rnacentral:rRNA from 1 species
CGUGGGUGACCUGCCUCCGAGUGGGGAAUAACGCUGCGAAAGCAGCGCUAAUACCGCAUACGCUCAAGACUUCAUUGCCUUGAGUAAAGCCCCGGCGCUUGGAGAGGGGCCUGCGCCCGAUUAGCUAGUCGGUGGGGUAAUGGCCUACCGAGGCGACAAUCGGUAGCUGGUCUGAGAGGAUGAUCAGCCACACUGGGACUGAGACACGGCCCAG